AGAGUUUGAUCCUGGCUCAGGAUGAACGCUAGCUACAGGCUUAACACAUGCAAGUCGAGGGGCAGCAUGGGAUUAGCUUGCUAAUCCUGGUGGCGACCGGCGCACGGGUGCGUAACGCGUAUCCAACCUGCCCUCUACUCCGGAACAGCCCGUCGAAAGGCGGAUUAAUGCCGGAUGGUGUCAGAUGCCCGCAUGGGUGUGUGACUAAAGGCAACGGUAGAGGAUGGGGAUGCGACUGAUUAGCUUGUUGGCGGGGUAACGGCCCACCAAGGCUACGAUCAGUAGGGGUUCUGAGAGGAAGGUCCCCCACAUUGGAACUGAGACACGGUCCAAACUCCUACGGGAGGCAGCAGUGAGGAAUAUUGGUCAAUGGGCGAGAGCCUGAACCAGCCAAGUAGCGUGCGGGACGACGGCCCUAUGGGUUGUAAACCGCUUUUAUUGGGAACAAAGAGCGCCACGUGUGGUGCGUUGCGUGUACCUUUCGAAUAAGCAUCGGCUAAUUCCGUGCCAGCAGCCGCGGUAAUACGGAAGAUGCGAGCGUUAUCCGGAUUUAUUGGGUUUAAAGGGAGCGUAGGCGGGCUGUUAAGUCAGCGGUCAAAUGUCAGGGCCCAACCUUGGCAUGCCGUUGAUACUGGCGGCCUUGAGUUCACACAAGGAAGGUGGAAUUCGUCGUGUAGCGGUGAAAUGCUUAGAUAUGACGAAGAACUCCGAUUGCGAAGGCAGCCUUCUGGGGUGUUACUGACGCUGAGGCUCGAAAGUGCGGGAAUCAAACAGGAUUAGAUACCCUGGUAGUCCGCACCGUAAACGAUGAGCGCCCGUCAUUGGCGACACACAGUCAGUGACCAAGGGAAACCGUUAAGCGCUCCACCUGGGGAGUACGCCGGCAACGGUG
rnacentral:rRNA from 1 species